UCCCUGGUGGCUCAGAUGGUAAAGAAUCUGCCUGUGAUGCAAGAGACCUGGGUUCGAUCCCUGGCUUGGGAA
rnacentral:tRNA from 1 species